AAGAUUAAUUCGAUGUCCCCUUCCAUUUCCCCAUAAUAAUCAAAUGUAUUGGAGGAAGCUAGCGAGCUCACCUAGAAUUUUAGGUAACUAUAAGUCAUUCAUAACUCAUAAGUAAACCCAAAGCCUUUAAACAAAUUAAUUACUAAUUAGCAAGAAGAGUCAAACAAACAAACAAGUUACCCUCGGGCGUAAUGCUAGCCGUAUACUUUUCAAAGUUUCUUCCUUCCGACACGCCCUACCGAAAACAAUUACUAGCGUGUGUGUAUAUAUAUAUAUUCCCAAUACUUAAUUAUCACGAUGCAUUUAUUAUUAUCACAAUAGAUAUUUUAAAAAUGAACCUCCUUCCACACACACACAAAAGAUAUAUAUAAUAUGAAGGAGAAAUAUCGAUUAAUAAAUAAAUGUAUGAGUGAAAAUAUCACUUUUCAUCAAGAUUCAUCAUUAAGGCUUUUUCACUAAUAUACAAGUAAUCAAAUACGCAGUAUGGGAACGUAGAUAAUUUAUGAUAUAAAAAAUAAUAAUUAGUUGUGCUUUGAGAAUGAUUGAUGUUUGCAUAUUUCAUUUGGGUUCUUUUUGUUUUUAAUACUUUCUUUAAAAAAAUUGGGUCAUUUUGAUUUUAUAUUUGUAAUUAAAUAAUUGUCAUUUGGGUUCAGAAUAAAAAGUUUUAAUUAGACACACCUAAUUAUAAAUUAUUUAUUUGAAAUUAUUUUGCACAGUGCCGUAUUAUACACAUAAAAUUAUGUACAUACGGUAUAUAUCCUUCAGGUAAAGACACAUGUUGGGCAAAUAGAGGAAAAAAAAACGAAAUUUAGAUUAAGGACAAAAUAAUGUGUCAAAAUAACAAUUUUGAUGCAUGUCAAUAUCAAGGGUUAGGUGAAGGCUCCCCUUCACUCUUUUAUACAUAAAUCAAAAGAGAAUUACCACAACACAAUUUAGAGAAACCAUAUAUAAUUAAAGCAUAUAUCGGUUGAUAAUCAAUAUUUUUGUGAACCUACAUCUGAUUGAGAAAAGAACCGAAAAAGAACAAAUAAGAAAAACAAAAGAGUUGUUUUUCUGCAUUUCAGUCAUUUUUAUAAUUUGACUAAUUACUGUUUAGACUUUUAAUUAUGCAACCAAAAAGUAUGAUGCUGAUGAAAUGUACCAAAUGUUUUUAUAAUUGGAAUUUGAUUUUAACUCUGUACCAACCAAAUUAUACACGCACCUUGUAUUGACAACAUGAGCCAAUUUGCCAAAAUAGACAAAAAAAAAAAAGAAAAAAAUAGGAUGCUUUUUGUUAUUAUUAUUAUUAUUAUUAAAUUUCUUAGAACGUGUUCAUCAUAGCAGAGAGGCCUUAUACGAUCAAUUAUGCAAAAUUUGAGUUAUCUUUGAAAGCGCUUAAUUUCAAUUAAAAAAAAGGAUGAAUAAAUUAAUAAACAUAGAAUGAACUUUGUGAUUCUAUGAUUUAAUUUGGCGAUCUAAUUAAAAGUACCUCCAUCAUCUUAUUUCUUUGCUAUUUAAUCUCUUUCCUUAACAUUCUUUAAACAUUCUACAUACACUUUUCGUAAACUAUUUCCCUCUACUUCCCCCCUCCGGAAAAAAAGAAAAAGAAAAACAAAGACAAGAAGAAGAACAUAAGAAGAUCAAAUAAUGCCUGGCUUUCCCAUGUACGCCGUUGCCGUCCGGUGAAUAUUGUUUCACCUGAAACAAGACUUCUCUUUGCAAAUCGUAUAUCAUCAACUCCAUAAAUACAUAUAACAAUAAACAUAGUAAUGGUGCUUCAAAAAGCUCACCCAAGAUCAUAUUUCUUCUUCUUCUUCUUCUUUUUCUUCUUCUUUAUCAUCCUAAAAACAAAAGAAAAAUGAAACCCAAGAAAGCAAAAUGAAAAAGAAAAAAAAACGCUUUUGGAAAUGUUCAAAGAUUCAAUGGAAAAUUAAGAGAUGAAGUCAUGAGGAUCAUUAUAAUAAGGGUUGUGAGAGAGAGAAGAUGACGAGUCUCUUGCUAAUGUUUUGUUUUCAAAUUAUAAAAGUGGGCCAAGAACAGGCCAUUUUGUUUCGCACGUUGGGUUGCUUCUCUUUGUCUUCCCACUUUUUAAUUCAUUAAUUAAAUUAAAUGACUUUCUGUGUGUUUCGAUUUCUUUUCAACAAACCUGGCCUUGAUUUCGGGAAACAUCAAUUUAAAUUUCCAAGUUAAUGAUUCGAGGAAGCUUUGAGUAUUUUGUUUUCUC
rnacentral:lncRNA from 1 species